GCGGGGGCGGGCCCGGGGGCGCCGCCGGGGUCGCGGGGAAGGGGGGGUUUGUUAUUGUUUUUGUCAGUGAAAGGUCAGAGUUCGUGACCCCGGUGCCGCCGCCGCCGCCGCCCGCGCUGGUAGGAGGAGGGCGAAUGUUCUCCUUCCUCUUCCCAGCGCCAGCCUCGCCGCGGCCGCGGGGGGCGGGCGAGCACGCGAUUGGCUGAGGCGCGCGCGCGCACCGGAACGCCGCGGCCCGCGCUGCUCCGGCCGGCCCCUCGGCGGCGGCUGGCCCGGCGCGGCGGCGGCGGGGCGGGCGGGCGCUGGGGCCCCGGGCUGCCGCCGCGCUCAGGCGAAAGGGUGUUUUGGUCGUCCGCAAAGCCCGGCCUGCGGGGCCGCGACUCCUCGGGCUGGGUGGGGCUGUGCGCUCGCCGAGCCGUCGUGCACCCCGGCCUCCUGCCCCCUGAAGCCUCCGCGUUUGUUGAUUGAAGAGCGGUCCCGCGGCAGAGCGCCCGUAGGUCGGUGGUUUAUUGGGUGGGUGUCCGACCGUUUGCGGCCUCCUCGGUACCGCGGGUUUGCUCUUUGGGUUUUCCGGGUCCGAAGAUGCGCCAGCUUCUGGCGGUGUCGCGUGAAGUGUUGAAACCUUCCGAAAGCUGUGUCUUUGGUCUCUUAGUGAACGUAGGGUCAAAAUCCUGCGGAGUCCACGCGUCUCGCCCUGCGAGCUCGUCAACAGCGGUACCGAAGUGUGUCUAGUAAAGCAGCUCUUUGCAAAAUUGCUUAAAUGGAGGAAGAAAAUCGCUUCUCUCGAUCUUACGCAUCUUGGGUUGUAGGUUGUCCUUAGAUAUUUCUCUCUUUUAAUUACGGUGUUGACUUGCUUUGGAAGGUGCGGAUGCCGUGAGGAGUUCAGGCCGGGCUCUCCUGGGUCGCCAUGCUUUGUAGGCCCACGAUCCUCUGCUGAUUGUUUUCCGCACUUUUGUUAUUGCAAAUAAAUACUCCCAGUUGGAUAGGUUAAUCUUUUUUCUUAGAUAGUAGCCAUUGGGGCUUUUAUCAGGGUGACCCCAACUGGGAGUAUUUUGUCCAUUAUCUGGUGAUAUUUGUAUUUGAUAGGAAAUGCUUUAAAUACACUCAUUUUCCUUACUUCCUUGUUCUCUCCUUGCAAGGAAGUAAGUGGAGAAGAGGUAAAUUUGUAAUGUCAUGGUGAGCCACAGACCCUGAAGUUGGAAGUUGGAAGGCCUCAGCACAUAAUUAUGGUCAUAUCCUCUUCUGGCAGGAAGGUUUUACAGGAGAGGUGGGUGAGAACCAGAAAGGUCAGGUGAUGUGCCUAAGGUAGCCCAGCAUUUUGAUGGUUAAAUCCUUGUAAACGUGGACUGCUUUGCAAUUGUGUGCUCUUUCUCAAAAAUUAAGUUUUUAAUGUUAAAUGAUCCUUCUAGAUAGAGCAUAAAAAUUCACACAUCAGUGAGUUUUGGGGGGUUUUCACAAAAAUUACAAUUAUACUAGAUUUUGAAGUAAAUAUUAAACAAUAAUUAAUGUUUCUAUGAUGGUUUAUAGUUUUUUUUAAUUUUCUUCAUUUAAUACUCAGCAGCUCUGUGAACAAGGUACUAUUAUUUCCAUUUAUUUGCACUGUUAUUUCCUCAGUGUAGAAACUGAGGCCCAGAUGAGUUAAGCAACCUGUCCAGUGCCGCAGGUGCAAUAAGUGAAGCCAGGGCUCUGAUCUAUUCCUUUUGAUUCAGGUUUAUGGUAUAAAUCAUGCUGUAUCAGUUUGCCCUGUUUGUAAUAGUAUUCGGUAAAUUUCAGCUAAAGGUUAGUUGUUUAAAAGUUAGUAGCAAGGGUUCAUAAUCUUGAUCGAUUUGAGUGGCUUUUCUUCCCCUGAACAUAGACGUGCAUGUACACACACACACAGAUUGCAAACAGUAUCGGCAGGUAACAGUCCUGUGCAAGCAGAGGUCAGCACUGCCAUAGUGCCACUUUUUCCUCCAUCGUGUUUUUGCUACAAGUCUUUUUAGUGAGCACUCUUUAAGUAGCUUUGUAACACUUGAUGGAUUUUAUAAUCACAAAAAAUAUUCAACUUGUAUCAUACUAGCUAUACUUUCCUUUUAUUGACUGUUAAGAAGUAUCCUCAUUUGCAUUAACAGUGCUUUUAAUAUUAUUUUAUCAGCCUUGGUAACUAAAGGAUUCUUGACUGGGGGGUGCGCUGCAGAGCUGCCAGGCCCCUGAUGGUCUAGAAGCAGUAAGCUUUGAUAUCAGUACUUCUGCUGAGCAUCACAGAUACUUCUGAUGCACACUACAGGCCUGGACCUGCAUGGUGACAAAUGCCAAACGUGUGGCAAAACCAAGGUAAAACUUUCUGUUUCACCUUUGAAAUGCAGUUUAGAAGGUUUUCUUUUUUUUUUUUUUACUCUGUGCCUGAAUAUUAUUCACUCACAGGGAACCAGGCUCGACCGGAGUGAUGAUGUAUGUGGCAGCACGCAGUCCUUGUGUGUGCAUUAUCUCGGCACCUACCCUGACUGUGAGCCCUGUAUCGAGAUGUGCCUUGUCUCUCUCGAUCUCAGUCCUUACCACAGUACCUAGUUAAGAGUGGGUAUGGAGUGGGCAUUUAUUGAAUGAAUGCUUUCCCAGCGACAGUGUAUUGCAAACGAUAUUCAUAUCAUCGUCCUGUUUUUACAGAUGAACCCAGUGAAAACAAGGUUUGGUGACUUCUAUGAGCUGGGAUGUGAGCCUGGGGCUUCUGGCUCCUUGUUCAGUGCUCUGUGGAUGAGACCCAGGUGUGCUCUCCGUGGUCCUCCGGGCAGGUCUUUUUUUCCCAUAACACUUAACCAGUCUGUUCUGCAGUCAAUCAUUAAUUGACUCCUUGAGCUGUGAGCUCCUUGAGAGCAGGAACUAUAUCAUGCAAUUUCCUUUUGUACCUAGCACAGAGUAAACAUGUUUUUUGCCCUCCAAGCUUAUUUUAAAUUUGCGUUAAAAUGAUAAAUGUUGAUUCACUGAAAAUCAAAUUUUGAGUAAACAAUAGCAGUAGAUGUGCUAAAUUUGUCAGACUACUAUUACCAGAGAUUUUUUGCUUGUAAGGGUACUGCUUAUAUGAUAGAAUAAAUAAUGGUUUUCCUUUUUAUUUUCAUAGACCCGAAAAGCUUAAUAAUUACCUUCUUAAGUACUUAUGUACAUGUUUGUAUCAAUUGUUCUAUAAUAGCUUCGGCUUUAUUUAUUAGUAUAGUAGUAAUCAUUUUAUGAAACUUCUGUUUAUAUCAUCUAUAUAAAUAUGACUUGUUUAUAAAAUAAACUUUUAAACCUCAUAUAAUUGUUAUUAGCCUUAUUUUUUAAGAAUGUGGAAUCUGAACAGAUGUAAUUGCUGAAUACCAGAUUGCACAUUCCUUACACUUACACAUUAUCCUGUUUAAUCUUCCCAAUAACCUUGUGAAGGAGAUGGUAUUAUCUUGUUCUUACAGCUGAAGAGGCUGAGGACUUAAACAGAGGGAGGAUGACUUCUCCAAAGUCACGUGGCCAGCAAGUGGUGGAACAUUUAUUAAUAGUUAUUUCUGCUUAUUUCUCUCUUCUGUCGUUGAGAACUUCGAGAGGAAGACAGCUCUCUUCUUCUCACCUCAAUUCCGUCAAAGUCAAGCUCUGACACAGUAGAAGACUACUUAGAGAGGUCUCAACUUCUCUAAAAAUGUCCCUUGUUCUUCCCAGGAAGAGAAGAGAAAGAGCGCCCUGUCAGAGGACUUCUAAGGAACCUAGGACCUGCUGCCUACACUUUGCCACAAGACAGAUGUUGGGAAACAGUUGCUGGUGAACGUUUUAGAUGCACUUUCCCUCUGUGUCCACCUCUGGAGAGAACGUGAUGCACUUUUGAAGGUGAGAUCCUAAUUCUGGAGAGACCUUGAGGUCAUUUAGGGCAGUUCACACUUGAGUGGGGAAUCUUUAUAUAAACCAGAGUGGCAGUCACUGUUGAAAACAUGCUUUAGGAACCCCUGGCAUAAAACAUGUCAUUUUACAGUUCUGUAGUAUUUGCAGCUCUCAGCUCUUGGGGAAUUUUUAUAAUUUACAUAUACAAAUUAUAAUAGAGUUUUCUCUUAAUUGCUACAGUAUCCAUUUCCUGAUAAAAUAAUUUGUGUAGCUUUGCCAUGAAUUUUAUACUUUUUCCCCUUGUAAUAUUUUUGAAACAUUCAAAAAAUAAAACUGGAAAUGUGUUAUUACAUUUGAACAUGUGACUUUAAUAAAGUCUUUUUUGGCUCA